rnacentral:rRNA from 1 species
UAGAAAUUCCGGUUGAUUCUGCCGGAGACUACUGCUAUUAGGAUCCGAUUAAGCCAUGCUAGCGGAGGGCAGUUUGGCUGCCCCGCGAACAGCUCAGUAACACGUAGUUAACCUACCCUUAAGACGGGGAUAACCCCGGGAAACUGGGGAUAAUACCCGAUAGGCGGGAGUUCUGGAAAAUGUCUCUCGCCGAAAAGCUCCGGCGCUUAAGGAUGGAACUGCGGCCCAUCAGGUAGAUGGUGGGGUAAAGGCCCACCAUGCCGAUAACGGGUAUGGGCCCUGAGAGGGGGAGCCCGGAGAUGGGGACUGAGACAAGGCCCCAGGCCCUACGGGGCGCAGCAGGCGCGAAACCUUCGCAAUGCGUGCAAGCGCGACGAGGGGAUCCUAAGUGCCGGUGGUCUAACGACCGUCGGCUUUUCAGAAGUGUAAGAAGCUUCUGGAACAAGGGCCGGGUAAGACUGGUGCCAGCCGCCGCGGUAAUACCAGCGGCUCGAGUGGUAGUCAAUUUUAUUGGGCCUAAAGCAUCUGUAGCCGGACCGGCAAGUUCCUUGUGAAAUCGGGCGGCUCAACCGUUCGGCUUGCAGGGAAAACUGCUGGUCUUGGGGCCGGGAGACGCUGAGGGUACUCCGGGGGUAGCGGUGAAAUGCUGUAAUCCUCGGGGGACCGCCGGUGGCGAAGGCGCUCAGCGAGAACGGACCCGACGGUGAGAGAUGAAGGCCAGGGGAGCGAACCGGAUUAGAUACCCGGGUAGUCCUGGCUGUAAAGUAUGCGGGCUAGGUGUGAGGCGUCCCUCGAGGGCGCUUUGGGCCGUAGGGAAGCCGUUAAGCCCGCCGCCUGGGAAGUAUGGUCGCAAGGCUGAAACUUAAAGAAAUUGGCGGGGGGGCACCACAAGGGGUGGAGCCUGCGGUUUAAUUGGAUUCAACGCCGGACAACUCACCGGGGGCGACGGCCGGUUGAAGGCCAAGCUGACGACUUUGCCGGACUAGCCGAGAGGUGGUGCAUGGCCGCCGGCAGCUCGUACUGUGAAGCGUCCUGUCAAGUCAGGUAACGAGCGAGACCCUCACCCCUAGUUGCCAUCAGAUCUUCCUUUGGAAGAUGCUGGGCACUUUAGAGGGACCGCUGUCGAUAAGGCAGAGGAAGGAGAGGGCGACGGUAGGUCCGUAUGCCCCGAAUCCCCCGGGCUACACGCGGGCUACAAUGCGCAGGACAGAGGGAUGCGACCUCGAGAGGGGAAGCCAAACCCUAAACCUGUGCCUAGUUCGGAUCGAGGGCUGAAACUCGCCCUCGUGAAGCUGGAAUCCCUAGUAAUCGCGUGCCACCAUCGCGCGGUGAAUACGUCCCUGCUCCUUGCACACACCGCCCGUCAAGUCACUCGAGUGGGAUUUGGAUGAGGCUUGUCGAAUUUGGGCAAGUCAAAUCCGGGUUCUGCAAGAGGGACUAAGUCGUAACAAGGUAGCCGUAGGGGAAUCUGCGGCUCGAUCACCUCCUU